CGGCGGGGCGGCGGCGGGCGGCUGGUGGCGGCCGGGCGGACAGCUCCCACCAUGGACGCCUGAGGUGCGAGUCUUCCGAGACCGGAGUCCACAGUCUCACCAGUUAAUUGUGUUAAAGCUAAUUUCCUGAGCCAUGCUGAAUGUCUUUAGAAUUCUUUAGAGGCCCUGAGAAAACGGAAAAGGCACCUGUCGCCGCGAUGCUAGUCCUGCAGAUGAGCUUCACUUUUAAAGUCCUGAACAUUACUCUUUCCACAAAAGGAAUGCAUAAGGAUAAUGAAAGGCAGCACAGGAUUGUUUAAGGAACUUGAGACGCUGAGCUGGAUUUGCAGUAUUUUAUCUACUUUUAUCUAAUUGUAACAAUUGCUAUUGUAACACGCUUCACACUGUCAGGAGAGAAAGAAUUAGACCUUC